AACCCACACUGCCCGCCAGAGAACUACACGCACCCUAGCGUAAAACUCAAAGGACUUGACGGUGUCUCAUAUCGCCCUAGAGGAGCCUGUCCUAUAAUCGAUAAUCCACGCUAUACCUUACCCCCCAUUGCAAAAACUUUCCAGCCUAUAUACCGCCGUCACCAGCUCACCUUUUGAAAGCCAAAUAGUGUGCAAAACAAUCCACCACUAAAACGUCAGGUCAAGGUGUAGCUAAUUGGGGGGCAGCGAUGGGCUACAUUUUCUAUUAAUAGAAGCCCCCAGCAGCAUGAAACAAUGCCAUAAGACGGAUUUAGCAGUAAACAGAGCAAGAAUCGCCCAAUUGAAGCUCGCCCUGAGACGCGUACACACCGCCCGUCACCCUCCUCAACAAACCAAAAUAUAAAGCUAACUAAGCCGCCCUUUACCCCAACCUUAGAUGAGGUAAGUCGUAACAUGGUAAGUGUACUGGAAAGUGCACUUGGCAAAAC
rnacentral:rRNA from 1 species